GACGAACGCUGGCGGCGUGCUUAACACAUGCAAGUCGAGCGGUAAGGCCUCUUCGGGGGUACACGAGCGGCGAACGGGUGAGUAACACGUGGGUGACCUGCCCUCAGCUCUGGGAUAAGCCUGGGAAACUGGGUCUAAUACCGGAUAUGACCUUUCCUCGCAUGGGGUUUGGUGGAAAGUUUUUUCGGCUGGGGAUGGGCCCGCGGCCUAUCAGCUUGUUGGUGGGGUGAUGGCCUACCAAGGCGACGACGGGUAGCCGGCCUGAGAGGGCGACCGGCCACACUGGGACUGAGACACGGCCCAGACUCCUACGGGAGACAGCAGUGGGGAAUAUUGCGUAAUGGGCGGAAGCCUGACGCAGCGACGCCGCGUGGGGGAUGACGGCCUUCGGGUUGUAAACCUCUUUCGACCCCGACGAAUUUGGACGGUAGGGGUAGAAGAAGCACCGGCCAACUACGUG
rnacentral:rRNA from 1 species